GCAGCAUGUGGGAUCCUCCUGGACCGGGGCACGAACCCAUGUCCCCUGCAUCGGCAGGCGGACUCUCAAUCACUGCACCACCAGGGAAGCCCUGUGCUCUAUUCUUGACAAUUCUUUCUGAGCUAUUUCAGGACUCUGCCGUGCCUUUCUCUCAGUGAUGAAUGCCUGGGUCCACUUCUUCAUGUGUUACAGGGAGCACAGCAGUGACGUACCUCCUUCUUAGGAGCUGUCACCCCCGGGGCAGAGAUGGGAUUAGGUUGAUGGGACUCCUAUACCAUGGAUGAAUAGGAUUUGAGAUGUUUUUCCACCGGGGUCUGAUGGCUUGCAACAAAAUCAAGUCACUAGGCCUUUUCUGCAUGCAGAGAACCUUCUGGGACAUAAAGGCCUUUGCCUUGAGUAGGAAGCAGGAGAACAGAAGUCGUCCACAGUGUCAGGAUUUCACUGAGAGUUUGCUGGGGCUCAAGUGACCUGAGAGCAUAAUGGUCAAUGGCAGA